rfam:Coprococcus comes CAG:19 genomic scaffold, scf140
GAACGCCGGAUGAGGGGAAACUCUCAUGUCCGGUGUGAAGUGGGGGAAAGUCUGGCGAUAACAUCAAAGGAUUAUCUAUCACUAU